AGUACCACAUUUGCAACUCAGGUGAUUAAAGAGUUACCUUCCAGUGUCUCAAAAAUUCAAUUGUAGGAACAGAAAAAUACAAAACCAAAAUAAGGUAUUGUUAUGCUGUCCAGCACAGGCUGGUGUCUAACUCCUGGAUUAAAGCCAUCCUCCCUCCUCAGCUUCUCGAGUAUCUGGGACUACAGAGGUAGACCUCAGAUUGCAGAAGACCAUCAGACCCAAGAGUACAACACACCAGGAUCUGGACUUUCCACUGUUUUUAAAGUUUUCACAGGCUGCAAUCUUCAAACUCUGCCACAAGAAAAACUCCAGAAGUAACUCUGAGGUCUGAUGUUUCACAAGGAAUACCUGUAUACUAUCUACAGGAAGUUGCGCAGGUCCUCCAUUUUCUUGCUUUUUUUGUGUUUUACUUCUUGGAUUACCUCUAAAACUCCGAAUCUCAUCAUCAUCAUUCUUGCUUGGAUUUCGUGACCUGGUCACUGACACACUUCCACAUCUUUCUGCUUUAACGUUCAGCACAAGCUAUAAUCAAUAUGUAUCUAUAUAAAGUCAAUACAUAUCCCUGGCUACGAUGUGAGCUUUUAAGAAAUGGGACUAUGUUCAGGAGAUCAAGACCAUCCUGGCUAACACGGUGAAACCCCAUCUCUACUAAAAGUACAAAAAGAAUUAGCCGGGCAUGAUGGCGGGCACCUGUAGUCCCAGCUACUCGGGAGACUGAGAUAUAUUCGGCACCUUAAGAAUAUUGGCAGAAACACAACAGUCUUAAUGCAGCUUUCCAGGAAUGCUCCAUUUUUCUCUCUUCUCUCUUCCUCUAAGGCAGCUCUAUACAAGUUUAGCAAAAUUAAAUAUAUGUGGAAGUGUUAGUGGAUUCCUUCAAAGUAAUUAGUGGGUUUUGCUUCAUGAGGAGCAGGAAAAGUGAAAGUGUCAUGUAUCAAUUCCAUUGCUCCUGAGUUUAUUUCCUUGAGCUAAACCAAAAUGAAACAAGUGGACAUGGUAAACAGACUACAAAAAAAAAAAAAAAAAAAAAGAAAAACUGUCUAAAA